UACGGAGGGUGCGAGCGUUGUCCGGAAUCACUGGGCGUAAAGGGCGCGUAGGCGGCCUGAUAAGUAGGGGGUGAAAUCCUGCGGCUUAACCGCAGGGCUGCCUUCUAAACUGUCAGGCUCGAGCACAGUAGAGGCAGGUGGAAUUCCCGGUGUAGCGGUGGAAUGCGUAGAGAUCGGGAAGAACAUCAGUGGCGAAGGCGGCCUGCUGGGCUGUUGCUGACGCUGAGGCGCGACAGCGGUGGGGAGCAAACAGG
rnacentral:rRNA from 1 species